UGCUUAGCAGCAUGCAUCAUAUAGGUGAGCCUGCGAAUGGCUCAUUACAACAGCCACUGUUUACUUGAUCUUGACUAUCCUACUUGGAUAACUGUGGUAAUUCUAGAGCUAAUACACGCAAUAAAGCUCCGACCUUACGGGACGAGCGCAUUUAUUAGACCAAAACCAAUCGGGCUUCGGCCUGAAACGUUGGUGACUCUGAAUAACUGAGCUGAUCGCAUGGUCUUUGUACCGGCGACGCAUCUUUCAAGUGUCUGCCUUAUCAACUUUCGAUGGUAGUUUAUGUGCCUACCAUGGUUGUUACGGGUAACGGAGAAUAAGGGUUCGACUCCGGAGAGGGAGCCUGAGAAACGGCUACCACAUCCAAGGAAGGCAGCAGGCGCGCAAAUUACCCACUCUCGGCACGAGGAGGUAGUGACGAAAAAUAACGAGGCGGUUCUCUAUGAGGCCCGCUAUCGGAAUGGGUACAAUUUAAACCCUUUAACGAGGACCUAUGAGAGGGCAAGUCUGGUGCCAGCAGCCGCGGUAAUUCCAGCUCUCAAGGUGUAUAUCGCCAUUGCUGCGGUUAAAAAGCUCGUAGUUGGAUCUGCGCCUUCGGACUCGGUCCGCCCAACGGGUGUGAACUGGGAUCCAAGGCUUAUACUGCUGGUUUUCCCUUGAUGCUCUUUACUGGGUGUCUUGGGUGGCUAGCGAGUUUACUUUGAAAAAAUUAGAGUGCUUAACACAGGCUAACGCCUGAAUACUCGUGCAUGGAAUAAUAGAAUAAGACCACGGUUCUAUUUUAUUGGUUUUCGGAACUGUGAUAAUGGUUAAGAGGGACAGACGGGGGCAUUCGUAUCGCUGCGUGAGAGGUGAAAUUCUUGGACCGCAGCGAGACGCCCUACUGCGAGGCAUGGUCCAAAAAAUGGA
rnacentral:rRNA from 1 species